ACUGAUAAUCUCACGCCAGCCAGUUGACAAGCUGACAACCCUUUGAAAUUAAACUAUAAAUGAACGAAAUAAUAAAUACAGCGGAGGCAUAAAACAAAAACAAUUGAAUUGGUAUAUUUUGUCAGCUGAUUUUUCCUUUCAGGAGAUUUAGGGGCCGUAGAAAUAAGAUGACGGUACGUGCUGAUGAGGAUGAUGGCGUCAAUUAAGGGGGCUACAUAAGCAAACUGGCAUGUGUUCUGUGUCAAGAUUAGGUCCAGUCUGAGUUAAAGAAAGAAAAACAGAGGGUACUUUUAAUCAGAGAUAUUUAAACUCACAAUUGAGUUGCUUAGUGAAGCUGAUCUAAUAAAUAUGAACGAAUAUGAGAAGCAUUUUAGCCGUCCGACGCCGAAAGCCUUUCUGAGGGAGUUUUGUGCCACUGGAAGGAAAGAUUCCUUCGGAUCGCGAGUUAAGAAACUGCUGCAUGGAAAAUUAUCCCAAUCAGUGAAUCUCCGGAGGAAAAGUCGACGAAAUAACCCGUGCCGCAAUCCCCAAAACGAGGUGGUUUUAGAGACUAUUCAUGGCAUCACGGCUUUCAGCGAUAGCGGCCUGGCCUGUGACCCCCACGCCGGAGUGGUGGCCUAUCCCGCCGGGUGUGUAGUUGUCAUCCUGCGUCCCAAAGAGAGAACACAGAGUCACAUAGUGAACUCUUCCAGGAAAGCUUUCACUGCCUUGGCCUUUUCGCAGGAUGGGAAAUACUUGGUUACUGGUGAACAUGGUCACAAGCCUUGCGUGCGAGUGUGGGACACGUCCAAGGGGACGGAAUUGGCAGAGGUGCAGUGUCAUCAGUACGGAGUUACCUGCGUGGCAUUCGAUAGCAGCGGGGACUACGUUGUGUCAGUGGGCUGCCAGCAGGACAUGGCUGUCAGCGUAUGGGAAUGGAGGAAGGGAGUUGUAAUAGCCUCAAACAAGGUGUCCGGCAGAGUGCUGACUAUGUCAUUCUCAGAGGACAGCAGCUAUUUUGUCACAGCAGGAAACAGAAUGAUUAAGUUCUGGUAUCUGGACACCUCCAGAAAUAGACAGGUGAAUGGCACGGUGCCUCUGACUGGCCGGCCAGCACUGCUGGGGGAACAGUGGAAUAGUACCUUUUGUGGUUUAGCGUGUGGGCGGGGCCACAUGGCCGGCAGCACUUACUGUGUCACCAUCCAAGGUCUGCUCUGCCGGUUUAAUAGCAGGAGGUUGCUGGAAGCCUGGGUUGAUCUGAAGACUGCCCCAGUGCACUGUUUAUCCGUCAGCGAAGAUUAUGUCUUCUGUGGCUGUGCCGAUGCUACUGUGCGAGUAUUUAAGCCCUCAGACCUUUGUUACAUUACCACCUUGCCUCGUCCUCAGAACCUCUGCAUGGACAUUACAAAGAGUGGUGAAGCAAGAGAUCUGCUUGCUGAUGAUCAGGUGGCAGGUUAUCCUGAUACACUUGCCCUGGCCUUUGAUCCUCUGGCAAGAUAUCUGACGUGUGUCUACAGUAACCACAGCGUGUAUGUGUGGGAUGUUUGUAACAUCAGAAAUGUGGAGGUGGUCUACUCCGCCCACUCCCAUAGUAACGGUGUCUGGAGUGUAGAGAUGUACCCUAAUAUGGAGGAGCAGGCUGAGCCAUGUCUGACGGUGGGAUCCUUCGUCACCUGCUCCUCUGACUGCACUAUCCGGCUCUGGCCUGGAGACCCCAGUACUUACAUUCCAGCCAGUGUUUCCACUGCAGACCCUGGGCAGGUAGUGUGGCUCAAGAAGGAUAUGGAGCAGCAAUGGAUUGUGGGUGAACCCAGAGAGGCCAGGAGCUCUCAUGUGAAACCAGGGAUUAGAGUGAUGAGUGUCAGUCCUGAUGGUCUGCAUCUGGCUGCUGGAGACUGGGGUGGCUCCCUGCGUGUCUUCUGCUUGCAGUUCUUGCAUGAGUUGUUGCACAUAAAGGCUCAUGACUCUGAAGUUCUGUGUCUGGAGUUUUCUCCGGCUUUCACCGGCCUGGAUUUGUUGGUCUCUGCAGGCCAUGAUGGCUGUAUUCACAUUUUCAACAGGGAGAAUGGGUAUAGCCAUGAGCGGACGGUAUGUGACCACUCUACCUCCAUUAUCGCCAUCAAGUUCACAGGUGCUUUUCCCAACGCCGGCUUGGUGAGCUGUGGAGGCGACGGAAGCGUUUAUUUAUACAGCACUGAAAAGGGCCAGCUCUCUUGCUCGAGUCGCAUAGUGACGAAAACCGCCGUGAAUGAUAUGAGCCUGGAUGCCGCAUCAAGUCACUCUGUCGUUGCCUGUCAGGAUCAGCAUAUCAGGGUUUACAGCCUGAAGAGUGGAAAGAUGACGAAGACUAUCAAAAGCCCUCUGAGUGAUGUCACUUUUCUUAAAAUGCAGAUGGAUGUUUCUGGCACUUUCCUAGCUACCAGCUGCUCAAACGGUACCAUCUGCAUCUUCGACUACUCAUCCGGUGACUGUGUGGUGACUCUCUUUGGACAUUCAGAUUCUGUGACAGGAAUACAGUUCAGCCAUGACUGCCGCCACCUUAUUACUGUAUCGGGAGACAGCUGUGUGUUUGUCUGGAGACUUGCUUCCGAAAUGACAAAGGCCAUGAGGAAGAACCUGGCUGAUAUCAUACAGAGAAAUUCUUCAUCUUGUAGCUUUUCCGAAACCACCAUCAGCCAGCUCCUGGCCAGAAAGCAGACAUGUGAAGAUGUACGUGGACCUCUGACUCCAGCUGAGGUGAUUAGGGGGCAGAACCAGGAGGAACGGGGUGAGAACAUCCUCACCUACUCCAGUCACGAUGAAGUGACAAAAUCAAGAGCAGACCCUGGUUAUUCUCUACAUGUCCCCCCCCUAUCAGUUACCCUGACCCCUCUGCAGACAAAUGGUGAGCCCAUGUUGGCCAGGACACUGUCUCCCCAGGCCCUGUGUUCUUUCGCCAACCCUGGCAAAGAGCAGAGGGGGGGCUCAUACCAGCCCCGGGCCCGGUGGGCUGAACAUUCCGAUCCGGAGGCUGUUCUCCUGGCCCUGGAGACUCAGAGCUUACGGAGCCCCCUCACUCCCAGCCCAGGCGGGAAGGAUGCAGCGAACGAGGGUGACCCCUUUGGACACCAUAAGCAGAGCCUUUAUGAAGGGGACCUGGAAGAUUAUCUAUGUCUGGCCUGUCCAGAUAAGCAGAGGACAAAUGCUGGGUCAGAGCAAAGCCUCCCUGGGACGGACCUCCUUUUGCUGCCAUGUGAUCCGGAGAACUGGUCAUUGCAGACUGUCCCACCUGAGAUGACUGACCACAGUUUUCAUCCUACUAAUGGCUCAUCUUUGCAAAGUGAAGAGGAAGAGCUUGACUUCAGGAGUCUGCAUGAUGUCCCAUUGGUACACUGGAAGGAGACCACAGUUGACCUCAGUCUCAGCAGUGUCUGUGGUUCUGGUUCAGCUGAGAACCAGGCCUCCAACCUGGACUGGGCUUUUGUUGGUUCCUCAAGCCAAACUAGCUUUACAUGUUCCUUCAAGGAGGAGCUGAGAAGUAUCUCUCGGGCAGUUCCUAGUGUGGUAACAUGCAGUCCAGUCAAUGGUGCCUUUGACCCAAACCUGCAGGAAAGGCAGUGGCCGUCAAAGAGCCACGUUCCCCAUGGCUCUCCCAGUUCCCCUGCAGUUCCCGUGUCAGUCACCCCUAGGUGGUGUAAAGACUCCAGUAGAUGGGAGACGGCCUCUUGUCAUGCUGAUUCUGACAGCAUGUCAGCCAACUGCACCAAAACUAAGAUGUCAGAGAACAUCCUCCAACAAUCCAGACAUGCCAAACCUGGAUGCAAAUAUACUGGCAUCAAAGAUAAACCUAUGGAUCGCCUGAUGUCUCCAGGCCAAAGACGAUCUCUACCACGGUCCAGUGAUGACAUAUCCAGAUCUGUGCAAUGGGAUUCCAUGGGUACUGGCACUAGCCCCCAUUCCAAAGUCCUACACAACGGUUCUGACUAUGAGCUUGUCAGGCCCCAAGUGAGAAAACCUGAUAAACUGAGCAAUCAAAGAGCAAGAUCCACCCCUAUUCUAAAUACACCAAAAGAGCAUAAGGAGUGUCUACCUGUUUCAAUGAUCCAGCAAAGCCAGUCCACGACGACACCACGCAAGCCUUCAGCUUCCACCGACAAACUCCCAUCUCUGUGUCGUCACGUGUCAAGGGUAGGAUCUCGCCCUUCCAGUCCUGUGUGCAGGGUGCCUUCUCCCCUAGGCAGCCUGACCCGCAAGAGCUUCACUGUGACCCAACGAUCAGGCUUCACUCUGCCUGGGGAUGAGAGCGACAGUGAGGCGCAGCAGGAUGGAGUGAGGCCUGAAUGCAGCACAAAGAGGUCCUCCAUAUCAAACAACUCGAAGGUCCAGCCCGGUGGGACUUGGAGCUGUAGUCCAAAUGCCUCGACCCCAGAGACUGGCGUGGUUCUGUCUGAUCCCUCUUCCGCACACCUGAAAAGAGAGGGAACAGUAGAGGUGAAGUCAAACCUGCAUUCAUACUCGCAUACCUCUUCCUCUGGAGAUGCUAUGUCAACUUUGGCUCUACCACAGGAGAGCACUAUAUCCAACUCAGGUCAUUCCAUCGGUCUUCUGGUUUUGUUUGGAUGGCCUGGAGCCCAUCCGAGGCAGCACAGCGCACAAGGCUGGGGAACACCCUGGAUGGGGUGCCAUUGUCAUCCAAUUCAUACUAAAGACAACUCUUUAAAAUCCAUUUUUCCCUUCCAAAGCUUCAGUGUCAUGGCCUUUGUAAUUCUUCCAUUUCCCAGAAUCUAUUUGGGAUUAAUACAGACCAAAUCUUUUCUUCCUGCUAACGUGUAAAAAAAUAAAAUAAAAUAAAAUAAAUACACUAAAUACUUUUUUCCCCCAUGUAAGAUUAAUAAAUUACAUCAGUGUGUUCGCUCAGUCACAUGGGAGUCUAUAUAAUGCACAUGACUAAUUCCAUCCUAGAAUCAUUUGUAUGAAGGAGAAACUUACAACAUUGGCUGUAUCUCCAGAUGUCAUGAAUGGGCCAAGUGGACUGAACACCUGUAAACGGAUAGUGAGAGAUCUGAAACACUCUGUGACGGCAGCUGUUGGCUUGUACAGGAAGUUGUGCUUGAGCCAAGGCAGCCCAGAGCAGUGCUCACAAAUGAGAUUACUCCU